GUCCCUGUAGCGAGAUGAAUAGCGCGUUGGACUUCUAAUCCAAAGUCGUGGAUUCGUAUCCCACAUGGGAUG